rnacentral:rRNA from 1 species
CCUGACUCCUUGAGAGUCCUGAAGGAACGUUGAAGACGACGACGUUGAUAGGCCGGGUGUGUAAGCGCAGCGAUGCGUUGAGCUAACCGGUACUAAUGAACCGUGAGGCUUAACCUU